rnacentral:misc_RNA from 1 species
GUAGGUGGACCUGCGGAAGGAUCAUUACAGAGUUCAUGCCCUCACGGGUAGAUCUCCCACCCCUGAAUAUUAUACCUUCGUUGCUUUGGCAGGCCGUGGAAACACCAUGGGCUCCGGCUGAUGCGUGCCUGCCAGAGGAAACAAAACUCUGUUUUUAGCGAUGUCUGAGUACUAUAUAAUAGUUAAAACUUUCAACAACGGAUCUCUUGGUUCCG